AUGAAAGCAACUUAUUGUUUCAUUGAAAUCGCAGUCAGAAAAUACAACGACAAAGCAAGAACAGUCUACUUCGAACUGAAGUAUCCUGAAACACACCCAUCCAUACAUCCCAGCUACAGCCUAACUAAGCAAGGAAUCUACGCCUUCUUGGGGGACUUGGCGGUCUUCUUGGGCGACUUGGGCUCCUUGGGGGACUUCUCGGCCGUCUUCUUGGGGAGCAGCACCGGGUUGAUGUUGGGGAUCACGCCGCCGUGCGCGAUGGUGAUGCCGGCGAGCAGCUUGCCGAGCUCCUCGUCGUUCCUGAUGGCGAGCAGCAGGUGGCGGGGGAUGAUGCGGCUCUUCUUGUUGUCCUUGGCGGCGUUGCCGGCGAGCUCCAGCAGCUCGGCGGCGAGGUACUCGAGGACGGCCGCGAGGUAG
rnacentral:rRNA from 1 species